GCCGGGGUGGCGGAAUUGGUAGACGCACAGGACUUAAAAUCCUGUGGACCCUCGGGUCCGUGCCGGUUCGAGUCCGGCCCUCGGUA
rnacentral:tRNA from 1 species